ensembl:lncRNA
UGGACACCUGCUUCCCUCCAGGCUCAGAUUCCCACAAAGACUCACAUGGCUUCACACGCUCUGCUCCCUCAUGGACUCUGCUUCCCCACUUCUGGACUCCUUUUUCCCCGACCCUUUUUCUCCGUCUUCCCUGUGACAGACUGGUGACCUGUCCAGGGUGUCUCCUGCCUUCGCCUCAAGUCAGCUUUGAUCGACUCCAGAACCCCGCGACCCUAAUGAGGAUUAAGCGAUACCAGUCGGAGGACGGCUGUGCUCUGCUCAGGAGUCUUAUGUGGCCAGUUUAAGGAAACUGGACAUGCUGUGACCACCUGUAGCGCCGGCGAAGUUGUCGUGAUCAUCCUCACCAUGGCAACAGGACGAAGCCCCCGUCUCCGAGCGCUUCAGCCGAGACACACGACGAGGUGGCAUUGCUUCAGAGGACUUACAGCAUUACAGAGUGAGAAUUUUACAAACGGCUUCAACAUCAACAGCGUCUCUCUUCAGAUUCUUUAAUCAAGUGUCUCUGAGGGAAGCGACGAGAGGCUGCACCUUGUAAAUAAUAGUUUAUUUAUGACGCUGAGCAGCAGAAGUAGAAAUAGUCCUUGGAGUUUGUAGCAAUUAUACUGACAAAGACUGGAAAUGUAUUCUCAUUCUUACUUUGCUGUUAAAUCUUUAUCUUUGAACAAAACUCACCAUAAGUAUUAGUGAUCUCUAAUCUUUUCUCCUUUGUAAACACUUGCUUUGAAACAGAACUGAUUAUGUAUUUUUCUUCCCAGAUAGUCUUUUUUUUUAACAAAGCAGCUCUUCUAGAACUCUCUAAACUGUUUGUAAAAUCAUCAAAAGUAACUAAACUCUGACUAAAAUGCACUCAAAGACUUAUUUUAGCAUUUUAUUGGAGGAUAAUUAACAUUUUUAUCUUUUAAAGAUGAUCUUUCUGUACUUCUUUAUUCCAAUCC